rnacentral:rRNA from 1 species
UACGUAGGGUGCAAGCGUUGUCCGGAAUUAUUGGGCGUAAAGAGCGUGUAGGCGGCCAGAUAGGUCUGCUGUGAAAACUCGAGGCUCAACCUCGAGCUGUCGGCAGAAACCAUCUGGCUAGAGUCCGGAAGAGGAGAGUGGAAUUCCCGGUGUAGCGGUGAAAUGCGCAGAUAUCGGGAAGAACACCUGUGGCGAAGGCGGCUCUCUGGGACGGUACUGACGCUGAGACGCGAAAGCGUGGGGAGCAAACAGG